AUUGAACGCUGGCGGCAUGCCUUACACAUGCAAGUCGAACGGCAGCACGGGAGCAAUCCUGGUGGCGAGUGGCGAACGGGUGAGUAAAGUAUCGGAACGUGCCCAGUCGUGGGGGAUAACGUAGCGAAAGUUACGCUAAUACCGCAUACGAUCUAUGGAUGAAAGCGGGGGAUCGCAAGACCUCGCGCGAUUGGAGCGGCCGAUAUCAGAUUAGGUAGUUGGUGGGGUAAAGGCUCACCAAGCCGACGAUCUGUAGCUGGUCUGAGAGGACGACCAGCCACACUGGGAAUGAGACACGGCCCAGACUCCUACGGGAGGCAUCAGUGGGGAAUUUUGGACAAUGGGAGAAAGCCUGAUCCAGCCAUGCCGCGUGCAGGAUGAAGGCCUUCGGGUUGUAAACUGCUUUUGUACGGAACGAAAAGGUUUGGCCUAAUAAGCUGAGCUCAUGACGGUACCGUAAGAAUAAGCACCGGCUAACUACGUGCCAGCCGCCGCGGUAA
rnacentral:rRNA from 1 species